rnacentral:rRNA from 1 species
GUCCACGCCCUAAACGAUGCGAACUGGACGUUGGGUGGACUUAGCCACUCAGUGUCGAAGCUAACGCGUUAAGUUCGCCGCCUGGGGAGUACGGUCGCAAGACUGAAACUCAAAGGAAUUGACGGGGGCCCCGCACAAGCGGUGGAGUAUGUGGUUUAAUUCGAUGCAACGCGCAGAACCUUACCUGGCCUUGACAUGUCCGGAACCUUGCAGAGAUGCGAGGGUGCCUUCGGGAAUCGGAACACAGGUGCUGCAUGGCUGUCGU